rnacentral:rRNA from 1 species
UGGGGAAUAUUGCACAAUGGGCGAAAGCCUGAUGCAGCAACGCCGCGUGAGGGACGACGGCCUUCGGGUUGUAAACCUCUUUUAGCAAGGAAGAAGCGAAAGUGACGGUACUUGCAGAAAAGCGCCGGCUAACUACGUGCCAGCAGCCGCGGUAAUACGUAGGGCGCAAGCGUUAUCCGGAAUUAUUGGGGCGUAAAGAGCUCGUAGGCGGUUUGUCGCGUCUGCUGUGAAAACCCGAGGCUCAACCUCGGGCCUGCAGUGGGUACGGGCAGACUAGAGUGCGGUAGGGGAGAUUGGAACUCCUGGUGUAGCGGUGGAAUGCGCAGAUAUCAGGAAGAACACCGAUGGCGAAGGCAGAUCUCUGGGCCGUAACUGACGCUGAGGAGCGAAACGGGUGGGGAGCAAACAGGCUUAGAUACCCUGGUAGUCCACCCCGCUAAACGUUGGGAACUAGUUGUGGGGUCCAUUCCACGGAUUCCGUGACGCAGCUAA